rnacentral:lncRNA from 1 species
CUAUUUUGGGGGCGUCACAGUUGGUAUCAAAGUUUAGGGAUAUGAUCCCUGGCUGAGAUGUGAGACAAGAACUAGGAGGGGAGAGACGGGGUAUUCCUUCGCUAGUAUGACCUACCUGAGUUUAAUUGGUAUUUAAUUGGUCAGUCAGAAUAUAGGGAUAAUAUGUGAUAUGUUAAUUUGUUUAAUUAACCCUUGUUUUGUGACAGUAUUUGAGAAUGACAUCUAAAAUUUUUGAGAUGUGCAAUGGAGCAAAACAAUAUGAACGUGUCGCAAUACGAAGC